rnacentral:rRNA from 1 species
AGGUUGGCUCAGAAGCAGCCAUCCUUUAAAGAGUGCGUAACAGCUCACUAGUCGAAUGACUCUGCGCCGAUAAUUUACCGGGGCUAAGCAUACUACCGAAGCUAUGGAUCCCAAGGGAUGGUAGGGGAGCGUUCCAUGAACGGAGAAGUACGACCGAAAGGACGUGUGGAGAUCAUGGAAGAGAGAAUGCCGGUGUGAGUAGCGGAACGUGGGUGAGAAUCCCACGCACCGAAAACCCAAGGUUUCCAGAGGAAGGUUCGUCCGCUCUGGGUAAGUCGGGACCUAAGGCGAGGCCGAAAGGCGUAGUCGAUGGACAACAGGUAGAGAUUCCUGUACCCGUAUAUAUGUGAAGGAAUGACGGAGAGAGGAAGCUGCAGCCAGCGGCUGGAAGAGCUGGUGCAAGCGAGAUAUCGGGAUGGCAGGCAAAUCCACCAUCCGAAACGAGAAGGCGUGAAGCGUACGGAAAGCUACGGCGAGUACGGAAGGCAGUGGAGGAACUUCCAAGAAAAGUUUCUAACGUAAAGUAUAUAUGGCCCGUACCGAAAAUGGACACACAUGGGUGAGGAGAGAAUCCUAAGGUGAGCGAGAGAACUAUAGCUAAGGAACUCUGCAAAAUGACUCCGUAACUUAGGGAGAAGGAGUGCUCAUAGAGAUAUGAGCCGCAGUGAAACGGCCCAAGCGACUGUUUACCAAAAACACAGCUCUCUGCUAAGCCGCAAGGCGAAGUAUAGGGGGUGACGCCUGCCCGGUGCUGGAAGGUUAAGGGGAGGGGUUAACGCAAGUGAAGCCCUGAACUGAAGCCCCAGUAAACGGCGGCCGUAACUAUAACGGUCCUAAGGUAGCGAAAUUCCUUGUCAGGUAAGUUCUGACCCGCACGAAAGGCGUAACGAUUUGGGCGCUGUCUCAGCUGUAGACUCGGUGAAGUCUUAGUACCUGUGAAGAUGCAGGUUACCCGCGACUAGACGGAAAGACCCCAUGGAGCUUCACUGCAGGUUGAUAUUGGGAUUUGAUGCAGCAUGUACAGGAUAGGUAGGAGGCAAAGAGAUGGAUACGCCAGUAUUCAAGGAGCCGCUGUUGGGAUACUACCCCUGUUGUAUUGGAUUUCUAACCGGACGACGUAGAGCCGUUGACGGGACAGUGUCAGUCGGGCAGUUUGACUGGGGCGGUCGCCUCCCAAAGAGUAACGGAGGCGCCCAAAGAUACCCUCAGCUUGGAUGGAAACCAAGCGCAGAGUGCAAAGGCAAAAGGGUGUUUGACUGCGAGACCCACAAGUCGAGCAGGGACGAAAGUCGGGCUUAGUGAUCCGGCGGUGCUGAAUGGAAAGGCCGUCGCUCAACGGAUAAAAGCUACCCUGGGGAUAACAGGCUGAUCUCCCCCAAGAGUCCACAUCGACGGGGAGGUUUGGCACCUCGAUGUCGGCUCAUCGCAUCCUGGGGCUGUAUUCGGUCCCAAGGGUUUGGCUGUUCGCCAAUUAAAGCGGUACGCGAGCUGGGUUCAGAACGUCGUGAGACAGUUCGGUCCCUAUCUGUCGUGGGCGCAGGAAAUUUGAGAAGAGCUGUCCUCAGUACGAGAGGACCGGGAUGGACGCAUCAAUGGUGGACCAGUUGUCACGCCAGUGGCAUAGCUGGGUAGCUAAAUGCGGAAGGGAUAAACGCUGAAGGCAUCUAAGUGUGAAACCCACUUCAAGAUGAGAUUUCCCAUUGCGCAAGCAAGUAAGACCCCUUAAAGACGAUAAGGUAGAUAGGUCAGGAGUGUAAGCAUGGUGACAUGUUAAGCGGACUGAUACUAAUAGGUCGAGGGCUUGACCGA